AAAAGGCAUGCAUUUAAAUUAAAAUAAAGUACUACAUUGUCAAAUUACAACCAUCCUGAAGACUCAAUCAGGAUUCAAAAAGGAAUGAGUUUGGCAUAGCCAGCUAGAGUCAUUAGUACAACAACUAAUUUUUCUCUCAAAAAAAGUUUUGGAGAUGUCUGCCCAAACUGCUUUUUUUGUACACAUCGGUGGAACAUUAAAAAGCAUGAUUUCAUUAAACCUGCACGACCUUGCUCUCUCUUUAGCUAGUGCAUCAGCUGCUCCAUUUUAUUCCCUGUAGCAGUGACUCACUUCUGAAUUCCCUAGUCUUCUUAGCCUUGACCUGCAGUCCAACAUCAAAGCAUUAUAAUGGAGAUUCCGUUAGUUAACAUGGAGAUGAUUUCCGGUGAAUCAAUAGUGAUUUCAAUCGGUAGGAGGUUAUGUUGUUCUACCAAAUUAAGGCCUUCAAUGAGGGUCAUUAGUUCCAUCAUAUUAUUGGUAGCUUUGUGGAAGCUUUUGUAGAAACCCAUCACCCAUCCCCCGUUACAAGUUCUAAUCACUCCUCUGAUCUCCCCCCUUUCCUGGAUUUCCCAGGCUCGAGCCAUUGGUGUUAAGCUUGAAGUCGUGAUUGGCAGGGGGUUCCAUUUGAUGUUGAUGGUCUGGCUAAUCUGGGGGCAAUCAUACCUUUUAGUAAGGUGCUUAUACUCGACCGUUUAGGAGUAGGCCUGAUUGAAGUUGGGAGGGUUCUUUUUGUCAUCAAAGGUGUUAGAGUUCCUGGCAUUCCAGAUGAUCCAAAGGAAGAAGGGUAUGAUAUCUUGCCAAUCAAGAUUCCUAUCAAAUUGGGAGUGCUGAAAGGCUCUCCAAAUAGGAUGCCAGUUUGAGGGGAGAAAGUCGUUGAGAGUGGUGUAAUUGAACGGAGGUAGUCUGGGAGAGCAGUUUCCCAGAAGUCCUGAAGGACAGGACAUUCAAAAAAGAUUUAAGUGUUGUCUUUCUGGUGAUGGUUUCAUACGACACAAUUUGCAUUAGGCUUAACACCUCUUUUGAAGAGGAUAAGGUUGGUAAGAAGUCUGUCAUGUUGCCUCAGUCUGAGCGAGGUUUUGAGUUUCUAAGAAAUUUUGGCCUUCCAGAUUCAUUUAAAGAGAGGGAGAAGUAGUUGUUGUAGGAUUUAGCAAUGUGAAUAUAAGCACUCUUACUGGAGAAUAGGCCAUUUCCAGUGAUGUUCCAAAUUAUUUCAUCAAUGAUGGCCCUAGGAUUGGGAGUAAAGGUGUUGUAAAAGUUUGGAUAAUAUUUUCAGGGAUUACCACAGGGAGAUUGUUGAGGUUCCAAGUUCCAUUUUGUCAGACCUCAAAGAGUUUAGUGUCUUGAGUUUGCUGGGGAAAAGGGGUUAAAUAAUGGAUAGUAGGAGUUCACAGUGAGGGAUCCAUCUAUCUCUCCAGAAGUUGACCUUUUUCUCGUUGUGGAUAGUCUAUGAGGAGGCGGUUUUGCAAAUCUCCCAACCCAUAUGGAUAUUUUUUUUCAGAUUUUGAAGUUGCUGGGUUUACACAUCAUGCCCUGGGGACUGUAUUUGUUCUUGAGAAUUCUAGCCCAGGUGCUAUUGCGGUGCUUGUAAAGUCUCCAGGCUAGGCUAGCAAGCAUUGUGGUGUGUAACACCCCAUAUUCAAGUACGUGUAUAGGCAUAUUCAAGUACGUGUAUUGGUCUUAUUUAUAUGGAAUUAAUUUUAUUUUAUUUUGUUUAUACCAGAAUUUGCCCGUCGAUGGUUCCAUACGAAGGUUAUUGAAUAAGCUUUCCAAUGAUAAAAAGAUUUCCAAAAACGGAUAGGUUUCGGAUAUAAUCGAGCACGUUCGAAACUAUAGAACGGUGGCCGGGAUAUUAGGAAUAGUAAAUGUGCAGGAAAAUUUCCUGCACACAAACUACUGAGGCCAGCCAAUUUUUUGGGUCAAAUUUGAACGAUCAUAACUCCCUUAAUAUAAUGAAAUGGGAGAUCUGCGACCUAUGAAAAGAAAUAUCUUUGAGUCUUCUUUCCAAUGCAAUUGGUUUCAUCCAAAUCCAACGUCUGAGUAAGGAGUUAUACUCGUUUUACUUCAGCCUCUCAAAAUAGAUUUUUAUGGUCAACUUCAAACGAUCAUAACUCCUUGUACAAGAUGAACUGGGUGGCCUACUUUAUAUGAAAUGAAAUACCUUUGAAUUAUCUUUCCAACGAUACCAAUUUCACCCAAAUCCAAUAUCAG
rnacentral:lncRNA from 1 species